UGUCAUUUCGCCCCUCCACUCCUCCAUCUCUUGCUGGAAUAAUGUAUCCAUUCUUCCUUUUCAUUUUGAUCCGAUUUGAUUAAUUUGAAUGAUAGCAAUUAAUUAAUGAACCUGCAUGACAACACUGCAUGAAUACCUCCAUCAGAGUUUGAGUGUAUAUAUACGGUACAUGUGACAUACAGUUUGUAUGUUUAUGCAUGAAUGUUGUGUUCCGUAGUUCUCUAAGCAGACUGACUGACUAGAGACUGACACUCGCAGACCCUCCUCGUCUUCUUCAACAUGCUGAGGAAGGGUUCGGAGUUGCUCCUGGCCACAGGAGGUGACAGGGAGGUGCUGCUCGAUCUGGAUUAUGUGACGGGCAAUCGGGGCGAACCCCAAAACACAGACAGCUAUGGGAGUCUGCAGAACGGGGGUUUCAUCCCACCAAGAUAUCUUUCAGCUGCAGUGGCUUCUUCUGACGAUAAUGACGAUGAUGAGGAUGACCCCAUCUAUAUACACUGUGAUAAAACGAGUAGCCGACCGGAACAACCACUAGGGGGGAACUACUUUAGAGAUGGACGAACCAAAAUAGACUUUGUUCUAGUAUGGGAGGUGAAACCGAGAAAGCUUCGCUCCAGAUGGAGGGGCCAAUCUGAGACCAGCGGUCCGGAGGAGGUCGGAGCCAGGGCAGAGGAGGGGAGCAGCAGGUCUGAGCGGAGAAAGGCUCAGCUGGCUCGAUGGAGGGACAAAUUCACCCAAAACCUGCAGAAUGCCGGCAUACUGCUGGAAAAGGAGGAGACGGCGAGCGAGAAGAAAACCAUCCAUUAUCUGAAACUGAGCGCCCCUUGGGAUGUGUUGGUGUAUUACGCAGAGGAGCUCAUUCUGAGAGCACCCCUACAGGCCCAACCAAACCCAAACUUCAACACUUCUGACCGGAUCCUUCGGAAACUAUACAUUCCCAACGUCAUGGCGGAGUCCUUGCCAAACAGGCCACUGGACUACUACACUUGUGCCUUUCGCAAGUCAAAGAUGGAGAAGUUCCUCGGCUGUGAGAACCAUGACACCUAUUUUACUAACACACAGAGACACCGUAUAGUGUAUGAGCUUCUGGCGAGAACGGUGUACGGCAAGAGGAAGAGAGCGGAGGUGGGCGUGGCUCGACUGCUCAACGAGAGGGCAUACACUGCAGCGUUUCCCUUGCAUGAGGGCCCCUUUGAGCUGCCAGAGUAUGAGGUGCGUCCAGAUGAGCUGAACCAGAGGCAGGUCUUGUUCCAGUAUUGGGCCCGCUGGUCUAAGUGGUACAAGUACCAGCCACUUGACCACAUCAGAGAAUACUUUGGAGAGAAAAUAGCCCUUUACUUUGCCUGGCUGGGGUUCUACACAGCCUGGCUGCUCCCAGCGGCGGUGGUGGGGGCCUUUGUCUUUGUGUCAGGAGUCAUGUCCAUGGGGACCAACACUCCUGCCAAGGAGAUCUGUAAUAGUGGGGGCAGCUACCUGAUGUGUCCUCUCUGUAAGACCUGCAAGCCCUGGAACAUGUCUGAUAUCUGCCCCAUGGCUAAGAUGGGCUACCUGUUUGACCACCCCGGGACAGUCUUCUUCAGUGUGUUCAUGUCCUUUUGGGCUGUCACCUUCCUGGAGUACUGGAAACGCAAGAUGGCCACCCUGGCUCACCACUGGGACUGCAUGGACUUCCAGGAGGAAGAGGAGCGUCCGCGGCCUGAGUUUGCGGCCAUGGCUCCUUCUAUAGAGUACAACCCAGUGACGGGAGUGAAAGAGCCCUACUUCCCAGAGAAGGCCCGGCUGUCCCGCACGCUCACUGGCUCUAUGGUCAUCAUCAUCAUGCUGUGUGUGGUUAUGAUUUUCCUGGUGUCAGUGAUUAUGUACCGUGGGAUAGUGAGUGUGAUGAUGUACCGCACAGGCAGUUUUGUGCUGCGCACUCAGGCAGGGAACAUUGCUAAUAUCUCCAGCAGUAUGGUGAAUCUGGCCCUGAUUCUGCUGAUGGGGCAGGUCUAUACUGCGUUGGCACUGCAGCUCACUAAAUGGGAGAUGCACAGAACACAGACCCAGUACGAAGAUGCAUUUACCUUCAAGGUGUUUGUAUUCCAGUUUGUCAACUUCUACUCCUCUCCUUUCUAUGUGGCAUUCUUCAAGGGAAGGUUUGUGGGUUAUCCUGGACGCUAUGGUACCUUGCUUGGCAUGAGAAAUGAAGAUUGUGGCCCAGGGGGUUGUCUCAUUGAACUGGCUGAGCAGCUCUUCAUCAUCAUGGUGGGGAAACAGCUCAUCAGCAAUGUUCAGGAGUUUGUCAUCCCUAAGGUGAAGGCAUGGCAACAGAAGAGGGCGCUGAAUAAGGUGCGGGGAAUGCAGAAAUCCCAGGAGCCUCGGCGGUGGGAGGAGGACUAUCAGCUGGUGGAGUGCGAGGGCUUGUUUGAGGAGUACCUCGAGAUCGUGCUCCAGUUUGGCUUCAUCACAAUCUUUGUGGCUGCGUUCCCCCUGGCACCGCUCUUCGCCCUACUCAACAACUGGGCCGAGGUGCGCCUGGAUGCCCACAAGUUUGUGUGUGAGUACCGGCGGCCUGUGGCCGAGCGCGCUCAGAACAUCGGCGUGUGGUUUAACAUCCUGGAGGCCCUGUCGCACCUGUCCGUCAUCGUCAACGCUUUCUUGAUCGCCUUCACGUCGGAUUUCUUACCACGACUGCUCUACCAGUACAAGUUUGACAACGAUCUGAACGGAUAUGUUAAUUUCACUCUGGCCUAUGCUCCUCCCAGCUACACCAGCCAUCCCAUGUGCAGAUAUAAAGCCUUUAGGGACAACAAUGGAAAUUACACUCUGAUUUACUGGGAACUCCUGGCUGUGAGGUUAGGCUUCAUCAUCGCUUUUGAGCAUGUGGUGUUCUUUGUCCUGCGAGCGAUAGACUGGAUGGUGCCGGACGUCCCUGAGUCUCUGGGGCUGAAGGUGAAGAGGGAGCGCUACCUGGCCAAGCAGGCCCUGGCAGACAACCAGGAGGCCCUGUUGGUGAGUCAUCGAGGUUCGGCCUCCAGCCAAGGUUAGUGGAACACAGCGAUGCUCACACACCCUCACCACACACACACUGCUUUGCUGCACUGAAUCAUUGUGCUGGUCAGGUCGUUAUUGCAAAAGAGAAUGUGUUGUAAUUUGUCAUGACUUACCUGGGUAAAUAUAUGCACAAAACACAGACAGGCACAAUCACACAGACAGACAGGCACACUUACACACACCCACUGCAAGCCACCAUCGGCCCCACCUCCUCCACUUUCAUGCUGUAUCAUCGACCUACCAAAGAAGCAAUGCAAAGUCAUCUGCUUGUGAUGACUCUUUGAUAUGUCCUGGAUCUCUUAAAAGGCUUCCUUGGCUUGUCUCCUUUCCAUCAUGACCGGUGAUAAAUGUACACUUAAUGGGUUUCCACCACCCUGCCAUUUUAAACUGUCCAAGGCCUUUCAAAUCAAUGGUCAUCAGGAGAGCUGAUCGUGUACUACAGGAAAAGGCGGGCCAAACAGGCCCCCAUUAACAUCGACGGGGUUGUAGUGGAGCGGGUCGAGAGUUUCAAGUUCCUUGGUGUCCACAUCACUCAUAAACGAACUAUCAUGGUCCAAACACACCAAGUCAGUCGUGAAGAGGGCACGACAACACCUAUUCCCCCUCAGGAGACUUGAAGAGAUUUGGCAUGGGUCCCAAGAUUCUCAAAAAGCUCUACAGCUGCACCAUCGAGAGCAUCCUGACCGGUUGCAUCACCGCCUGGUAUGGAAACUGCUCGGCAUCUGACCGUAAGGCGCUACAGAGGGUAAUGUGUAUGGCCCAGUACAUCACUGGGGCCAAGCUUCCUGCCAUCCAGGACCUAUAUACUGUCAGAGGAAAGGCCCCAAAAAUUGUCAAAGAACCCAGUCACCAAAGUCAAGCAGUACCGGAGCGCCAAGUCUAGGACCAAAAGGCUCUUUAAAAGCUUCUGCCUCCAAGCCAUAAGACUGCUGAACAGCUAAUCAAAUGGCCACCGGACCCCCCCACCCCCCCACACACACACUGUUUAUUAUCUAUGCAGAGUCAUUUCACCCCUACACCUACAUGUACAAAUGACCUGGACUAACCUGUACCCCCUCACAUUGACUCGGUACCGGUACCCCCUGUAUAUAGCAUCGUUAUGUUUUUUUUUAUUGUGUUACUUUUUAUUGUUGUUUACUUCAGUUUAUUUUGUAAAUAUUUUCUUAACUCUUUUUUGAACUGCACUGUUGGUUAGGGGCUUGUAAGUAAGCAUUUCACGGUAAGAUCUACACAUGUUGUAUUCGGGGCAUGUGACAAAUAAAGUUUGAUUUGAGAGAAAGCCUCUUGAGGGGAAGGAGACAAGUAGAGAAAGCAUAUUAAAACUAUUGGGUGACACAGGCUCUUAUGUGUUCACUCACCUCACUCCAUUGUUUGAUACAGUGCCAAUAGUAAAACACCCAUUACCUCAUUAGGGAGUGUGUUAUCCAUGUUAAAUAUUAUACCGGUGGCUACUCAUUAGCUAGGGCUCCUGUUCAUAUGAAAUUAUACAGACGUACAGUAAGUCAUUAAGGAUACGAAUUGAUCACUCGUUGUGAGUCCCAAAUGGCUGCCUAUUCCCUACGUAGUGCACUACUUUUGACCAGGGCAUCCAUAGGGCUGCCCUGGUCAAAAGUGAAUCCACUGUAAAUUUCCUGGAGUAUUAUGGGCGGUAAAAACAGGAGACAUGUUGAAGUAACUGCUUGACUAAAAUUAUCUAAAGCUGCUGUAUAAGUAGAUACAUAAUACAUACAUAAGCAAUGGAUAACCACACACAAUGUAUAAAGACUGGACUACAAUUGCCAUAAUAUAGCCCCAGAAGUGCUCAAAGCCUAACCCAUAAAACAUUAACCUAAGUUAAUGCAUCCAUAACGCUCUUCCCCUGGAAUGUGUAGUCUCUCUCUCUCGCCGCAUCCCAUCAGCACGAGACUGGUGCUUUCUCACCCAUUGUUUCUCUUUGUGGUCGUGUCAGUUGUGUGGUGGUGUGUGUGCUUCCCUGUGUUCUGACCAUGCCGUUUUGGUCGUUGUGUUUCUUGUCGUGAAGGUCUUGGACGGGCAAGCAACGCGUCCUUUGGCAACAUGAGUUAGAACGGUAGUCCGGAACUUCUGCACCAAGAGAAGCGUAACAGAUGGAGAGGAGAGGAGGGGUAGAGGGAGAUAAAAGAGAUUCCUUUGCAUUUCGGGUCCCAUCAAUGGAUUUGUUUCCCUGUUGCUCUCCGUCUGUUGUCUAUGGUCAGUCUCUAGGUUUGUUUACGGAAAGGAUGACGUAUCCGCAAAGGGCCGGUGUGGUUGCAGGUAUUUGUUCCAGCCAAGCUGUAACACAUCUGAUUCAAUGACCAACUUAUAGUCUUUCAUUAAAACUUUGAUUAGUUGAAUAACAUUUGUUACUGCUGGGCUGGGACAAAAACUGGCACCUACACUGGCUUUUUACUGGUAAUAUUGGCCAGAAUGGCCACCACCUGGUUUUCAGUAUGUGAGAGUGGGUUUGUAUUGUUCCAAUUUUUUUGCUUGACUAUUAGCAGAUGACUUGACGUCUUUCAACUCUGAGGAUUUGUAAUGCUCUCACUGUGUUGAAUGGACAAGCUUGAUUUACUCAAACAGUAAUGUUGUCAACACUUUUCUUCAGACAGCCUGCUCUGUUGUGUGUAGGUAUACAUAAAUAUUUAUAUAUGUGAAACUGGUUCUGCUUUUCUAUACUAUCACUACACUAUAUUUGUAUGGAGAUAAAACCCGAUAUAUAUCUUGUUGUUUAUCUUGUUGGUAUAAGAGUUACUGCUGUACUACCAUAAAAUUAAAGUCCUUCUCCAUGUGUUACCUGUUUUGUGCCAGCUGUUUUGCAUUUCAAAUGUAAUAAUGUUUACAUACUGUUUUAAUUACUUUAUAUAUCUACUGUAUUUUAGUAAUGCUCAUCCUAUAUAACUACUGCUAUACACACAUUUAUAUUCACAUACUGUCCAUCCUGUCCAUACACAUCAUUCACAGACACAUAUACAGUAUUAUUUAUAUUCCGGACUCAUUUCUGGAAGCUAAUUUCCUGCAAUUCUAUCCAUUUUCCUAUGUGGUUUUGUACUGUGUACUUACAGUAUAUAUUGUAUUCUUGACAUAGCUCAUUGUAGUAUUUAUACUAUUGUACAUUGAAUUUUAGUUACACUGUUUAUACACAACGCAUAUUUAUUUAUAUGUUGGAUUCUUAGGUCACAUAGGUCACUCUAAUAUUUCUACUGCUGUAUAUAUCAUUUCUAGUAUAUCAUGUGUAAAUUCAUCCAAUGUAUAUACUGUAUGUAUAGAUUGCAUUUGAAUUACUGUUACAGUGCUAUUUUCAUUGUUAAUUGGAUUCGUUCCAACAAUUCUUGAUUUCUUGUUGUUCUUUCCGUCUUUUUGUUUUUUAAAUUUAAUUAUUUGUGUACCUGUUUGAUAUUUCACUGCAUUGUUAGGUGCUCCACUUCAUUUCACUGCACCCGCUACAAUAUCUGCUAAACUUUGUAUGCGACCAAUAAACUUUGAUUUGGUUGGA